GACGAACGCUGGCGGCGUGCUUAACACAUGCAAGUCGAACGGAAAGGCCCUGCUUUUGUGGGGUGCUCGAGUGGCGAACGGGUGAGUAACACGUGAGUAACCUGCCCUUGACUUUGGGAUAACUUCAGGAAACUGGGGCUAAUACCGGAUAGGAGCUCCUGCUGCAUGGUGGGGGUUGGAAAGUUUCGGCGGUUGGGGAUGGACUCGCGGCUUAUCAGCUUGUUGGUGGGGUAGUGGCUUACCAAGGCUUUGACGGGUAGCCGGCCUGAGAGGGUGACCGGCCACAUUGGGACUGAGAUACGGCCCAGACUCCUACGGGAGGCAGCAGUGGGGAAUAUUGCACAAUGGGCGGAAGCCUGAUGCAGCAACGCCGCGUGCGGGAUGAAGGCCUUCGGGUUGUAAACCGCUUUCGCCUGUGACGAAGCGUGAGUGACGGUAAUGGGCAAAGAAGCACCGGCUAACUACGUG
rnacentral:rRNA from 1 species